UACGAGAGGCCCAAACGUUAUUCGGAUUCACUGGGCUUAAAGAGUUCGUAGGCGGUCUGGAAAGUUGGGUGUGAAAGCCCUCGGCUCAACCGAGGAACUGCGCUCAAAACUACCAGACUUGAGGGAGAUAGAGGUGAGCGGAACUGAUGGUGGAGCGGUGAAAUGCGUUGAUAUCAUCAGGAACACCGGAGGCGAAGGCGACUCACUGGGUCUCUACUGACGCUGAGGAACGAAAGCUAGGGGAGCAAACGGG
rnacentral:rRNA from 1 species